rnacentral:SRP_RNA from 1 species
GCUGGGCGUGGCGGUGCACACCUGUAAUCCCAGCUACUCAGGAGGCUGAGGCAGGAGAAUCGCUUGAACCCAGGAGGCGGAGGUUGCAGUGAGCCAAGAUCGUGCCACUGCACUCCAGCCUAGGUGACAGAGUGAGACUCUGUCUCUU